UUGAACCUGUGCCCCCUGCAGUGGAAGCACCGAGUUUUAACGACUGGACAACCAGGGAAGUCCUGUCCAUGUAAUUCUUGAUGGUUGUGUUUCAAAAUCGGAGGGCUUGCCGUGUAGGGUGAUGAUUUGUUGCUGUCCCAUGUUUCUUCUCAAGCUCAUUUUUCUUCGGAUUGUAAAGCUUCUGAAUGAUUUUAAAAAAAGUCAUAGACACGUUUGGCCAUCAACAACAAACAAAGCAAUAACAUGGAAUGGCACGCAGCCCACAACACACUCAGGGAAUCCUAGGGUGUCACCGAAGAGAGACAAAGGAAAUUGGAGACCUUUUGGAACUGACUCUCACACUGAAGCCAGUGACAAAGCUCACGGAGCUACCUCCCUUUGUGCCCAGGAGAAGUUCAGCCCACGCACCAUCUGGUCCAUAUGAGGGAGCCCUCCCUCCAGCCCCACCCCUAACCACCAGAAGACUCCAGUCGCCUCUCCCUGCUUUCUUAAGCUGGUUUUGGACCUUCUUUGGAGCCUGCCCUGCUCUUCCCAGAAAGCC